GCACUUUCCUGAUCCGCUGGCGCACGCUGAAGGAGGACGCGGAGAUGCCGCUCCGGCCGCUGCCGCUGCCGCCCUCCGCCGGCAGCUGAGCUAUAUGUCAUCUCCCUCAUUUGCCAGUAUGAUGUGAAUGCGUCCAGGCAUUACUCUACCUUUAUCCUUCGAGACAUGGCGUGGCAUGCGUUGCCUUCAGGGAAUUGGAAAAAAAAGCGUUAAUAAAAAAUGCUGCUGAAAAACAUUCUUGCUCUCGUGCUUGCUAGGUAGGCACACAACUGACCACGAGGAGGGAUUACGCUCUCUAUGCUUAAAGUUCAGGUCUACAUACAUUUUUUGUAGAGACAGUGCACUUCAUGCCUAGUCCAGCCUUCCUGUGGAUUUUAAUGGUAAUCUCUUUUAAAUACAAUGAGCCUCUCUGAAGAUAAAUUUGUUUUUAAUAUUUCUUACUCUGAAUAGUGAAAUAUUUCAUUUUUAAAAAUGAGUUAGGCUCGGAGGAGGUUAAAAAGUAUGCUUAUCUUUUUAAAUUGAUCAUACCACUCCGAAAUGUAUUACCUGUUAAUUUUGCAAAGAGUGACAGUAAUGGAAAUAAAUUUGAAAUUUCGUCUUUUCCA